rnacentral:lncRNA from 1 species
UCGUUUCUCGUUUUGUUUAAAUAGAUUAGACCGUUGGUUUUCCCGUUUGAAUGGUUUUACACUAGUAAUUUUGGGGCCCUUUAUAGCUUGUUGUUCGGUGUGAGCCAAUGCUCCGUGUUGAAGGCCGUACUUUAACCUAUAAUGGUUUACUUUUUAAAUUGUUAUUUGUAUGGAGAGUUGUCUCAUUGGCACUCACACCACAUCUUCCUAUAUCUAUUAAACA